CUUGCUUCUCUUGAGAGCGGCGGACGGGUGAGUAAUGCCUAGGAAUCUGCCUAGUGGUGGGGGAUAACGUCCGGAAACGGACGCUAAUACCGCAUACGUCCUACGGGAGAAAGCGGGGGAUCUUCGGACCUCGCGCCAUUAGAUGAGCCUAGGUCGGAUUAGCUAGUUGGUGAGGUAAUGGCUCACCAAGGCGACGAUCCGUAACUGGUCUGAGAGGAUGAUCAGUCACACUGGAACUGAGACACGGUCCAGACUCCUACGGGAGGCAGCAGUGGGGGAUAUUGGACAAUGGGCGAAAGCCUGAUCCAGCCAUGCCGCGUGUGUGAAGAAGGUCUUCGGAUUGUAAAGCACUUUAAGUUGGGAGGAAGGGUAGUAACUUAAAACGUUGCUACUUUGACGUUACCGACAGAAUAAGCACCGGCUAACUUCGUGCCAGCAGCCGCGGUAAUACGAAGGGUGCAAGCGUUAAUCGGAAUUACUGGGCGUAAAGCGCGCGUAGGUGGUUCAGUAAGUUGGAAGUGAAAUCCCCGGGCUCAACCUGGGAACUGCUUUCAAAACUGCUGAGCUAGAGUACGGUAGAGGGUGGUGGAAUUUCCUGUGUAGCGGUGAAAUGCGUAGAUAUAGGAAGGAACACCAGUGGCGAAGGCGACCACCUGGACAGAUACUGACACUGAGGUGCGAAAGCGUGGGGAGCAAACAGGAUUAGAUACCCUGGUAGUCCACGCCGUAAACGAUGUCAACUA
rnacentral:rRNA from 1 species